UGGCACUAUAGUGCCCUGAGGGUGCCCCCACCCUCAGGGUCCCCCUCCCGCCCGGCUCUGGAAGGGGGAAAGGGGUAAAAUCUUACCUUUUUCCAGCGCUGGGCGGAGAGCUCUCCUCCUCCUCUCCGCCUCCGUUACGCCCCGCCGGCUGAAUGCGCACGCGCGGCAAGAGCUGCGCGCGCAUUCAGCCGGUCUCAUAGGAAAGCAUUUACAAUGCUU